rnacentral:rRNA from 1 species
GUGGGGAAUAUUGGACAAUGGGCGAAAGCCUGAUCCAGCCAUACCGCGUGUGUGAAGAAGGUCUUCGGAUUGUAAAGCACUUUAAGUUGGGAGGAAGGGCAGUAAGUGAAUACCUUGCUGUUUUGACGUUACUGACAGAAUAAGAACCGGCUAACUUCGUGCUAGCAGCCGCGGUAAUACGAAGGGUGCAAGCGUUAAUCGGAAUUACUGGGCGUAAAGAGCGCGUAGGUGGUUUUGUAAGUUGGAGGUGAAAUCCCCGGGCUCAACCUGGGAACUGCCUACAAAGAUGCAUGACUAGAGUACGGUAGAGGGUAGUGGAAUUUCCUGUGUAGCGGUGAAAUGCGUAGAUAUAGGAAGGAAAACCAGUGGCGAGGGCGACUACCUGGACUGAUACUGACACUGAGGUGCGAAAGCGUGGGGAGCAAACAGGAUUAGAUACCCGAGUAGUCC